GAUGAACGCUGGCGGCGUGCCUAAUACAUGCAAGUCGAGCGAACGGACGAGAAGCUUGCUUCUCUGAUGUUAGCGGCGGACGGGUGAGUAACACGUGGAUAACCUACCUAUAAGACUGGGAUAACUUCGGGAAACCGGAGCUAAUACCGGAUAAUAUUUUGAACCGCAUGGUUCAAAAGUGAAAGACGGUCUUGCUGUCACUUAUAGAUGGAUCCGCGCUGCAUUAGCUAGUUGGUAAGGUAACGGCUUACCAAGGCAACGAUGCAUAGCCGACCUGAGAGGAUGAACGGCCACACUGGAACUGAGACACGGUCCAGACUCCUACAGGAGGCAGCAGUAGGGAAUCUUCCGCGAUGCGCGAAAGCCUGACGGAGCAACGCCGCGUGAGUUAUGAAGGUCUGCGGAUCGUAAAACUCUGUUAUUAGUGAAUAACAUAUGUGUAAGUAACUGUGCACAUCUUGACGGUACCUAAUCAGAAAGCCCCGGCUAACUACGUG
rnacentral:rRNA from 1 species